rnacentral:hammerhead_ribozyme from 1 species
AUUCAACUGAUGAGUCCAAAAACAGGACGAAACGCACAUCAAACUGGAU